rnacentral:lncRNA from 1 species
CAGCCAUUUUUGGGCAGAUUGGCCACAAAUCAGUCACCAGUCCACCCUACAUCUCCAACGGCUCCUCCUGCGCAGCCUCCCAAACCAGCCUUACAACCUAAAACACAGCCACUGAGCACCUCGCUUCAUCCACUGAAAGCAGCCAGCCUACAGACCUCACAGAGACCUCAGACAAAACUAGCACCUAGUGGAACAAAAGACUGGCAGGACAAAGGCAGGAACAGUACAGCAGAAGAUGACACAACAAAGAAAGCAGCAAGACUCACAGCACCUAACAAUACCACAGAAGUACUUAUGGUCACAUCUGAGCCUCCAGCAACCUCAUCAUCACCAACAGACGCCUCUCAGCAGCAGCAGCAGCAGCUAUGGUCAGAUGGAGCUCAGCUGUCCUGGAUGGAGCUCGCCAAGAGAAAGUCUUUAGCUUGGUGUGACAAAACUUUAGAAUUAAGCUGAGACAUUCAGUGAUAAACUGAUAAAGUGGUGCAAUACCUAAUGUUACAACGAAUGAAUGUAAUACUGCGCG